GGCCUCGGCAUGUAUUGGGGGAGGGGGUUGGAAGUCGGCCACGCCUUAUUCACGACAGCAUUCGCGUGUGCACGCUGCAGAGCUCCAAGAGAAGAAACCGAGGGGGCUGCUGGCGAAGGCUGCUAGCAGCCUCUGCAGAGAGAGGAUUUCAAGACAGAGUCUCCAGAAAGUGGUAGCACACGCCUUUAAUCUCAGCACUUGGGAAGCAGAGGCGGCAGGUGUGGGAUGGUGGAUUGAGUCAGGUGGUCCACAGCAGCAGACUAUUUGCUUGGUGCAGCCUCUGAGAGGAGCUCUUUGCCAGUUGCAGAGAGUUUAAAUCUGAGAACUGUGGAGAAAGAAUAAAUGCCAAAGGCGGGAGAGUGUGGAGGUCAGUGAGAGAACAAGACUGCUCCUGCUUCUCCCUUGCUGUUCCUGGUUGCUGUUGUGAGACAAGAAGUUGGAGAUCUCCUGAAAUGAGGAUUGGACUGGCUCCAAGGAACAGGAUGACCCUAACCAGCAGGAAGCAGCUAAGAGAACUGUUCCCCCUCUCCCACUAACCCUUUCUCUACUCUACCUGGUGUUAGGGUGUUGGAAGGGAUUGGGGUGGAGAAGGGAGAAAAGGCAAAUA